AGAGAACAAUACAAGUAAGACAAAUAGCGAAUCAAAGAUCCAACAGACACCUGGUAAGAUAUACCCACCCUUAUUUGUUACUUUGUUCAAUUGGUUUUUACGAAGCUUGUGCUUUGAAACUUCUCCUUUAUUAACAGAUGCAGAUCUAAUGGGGUUCAGGAAUGGCAUGGCACCCGCAAACUUCGAUCGAAAAAUAGUGUGUAUAUAUAUCUAUUUUGAAGAAAACCGAUAUAUUAUUUAAGUGUCAUCCGGUGCAGCAAUUGAGGAAGUAGUGUCAGUGGAAAAUGAUCUAAAAUUUCACGUAGUAUACUAGAGUUCAAAUCCAGACGC
rnacentral:lncRNA from 1 species